rnacentral:rRNA from 1 species
AUUGAACGCUGGCGGCAUGCCUUACACAUGCAAGUCGAACGGCAGCACGGGUGCUUGCACCUGGUGGCGAGUGGCGAACGGGUGAGUAAUACAUCGGAACAUGUCCUGUAGUGGGGGAUAGCCCGGCGAAAGCCGGAUUAAUACCGCAUACGAUCUACGGAUGAAAGCGGGGGACCUUCGGGCCUCGCGCUAUAGGGUUGGCCGAUGGCUGAUUAGCUAGUUGGUGGGGUAAAGGCCUACCAAGGCGACGAUCAGUAGCUGGUCUGAGAGGACGACCAGCCACACUGGGACUGAGACACGGCCCAGACUCCUACGGGAGGCAGCAGUGGGGAAUUUUGGACAAUGGGCGAAAGCCUGAUCCAGCAAUGCCGCGUGUGUGAAGAAGGCCUUCGGGUUGUAAAGCACUUUUGUCCGGAAAGAAAUCCUUGGCCCUAAUACGGUCGGGGGAUGACGGUACCAGAAGAAUAAGCACCGGCUAACUACGUG